AUUUUAGAUAAGGGCUAAUGAAGUGACCCCCAAGUUGGAAGGGGAUCCCCAAGGCCCAGGCAUGGCCUCCAGGACUCCUGACACCCAGCUUUGGGGUCCUGGUAUCCAGGCAGCUGCAAGAAAGUAACAGGACUUCCCCAUCUGAGACAUGUGAUCCGUGACUGUAGCUGCUGAUAUAGAAUCAAUGAAGGAAGGCACAUAACUCAGGAUGGGAACAACAUACAUACGGAGAGGGGUGCUUGAAGGAAAACCUGCUCUUCUGGAAUACUGAAUGUGAAAUUAAGCCCAUCCCUGAAAACCCCAUUUGAAGAAAACAAAUUAAGGAGGGAAGAUAAUUUUUAAAGGCAUUAUUAAAAUCUAACAAUUCUACACUUUGCUUAAGAAAUAUACAAUAAA